rnacentral:rRNA from 1 species
UUGUCUCAAAGAUUAAGCCAUGCAUGUCUCAGUACAAGCCAAAUUAAGGUGAAACCGCGAAAGGCUCAUUAAAUCAGUUAUGGUUCCUUAGAUCGUACCCACAUUACUUGGAUAACUGUGGUAAUUCUAGAGCUAAUACAUGCAAAUAGAACUCCAACCGGAGACGGAAGGAGUGCUUUUAUUAGAUCAAAACCAAUCGGUGGCGGGUUUCGGCUCGUCAUCGUACAACUUGGUGACUCUGAAUAACUUUAUGCUGAUCGCACGGUCUAGCACCGGCGACGCAUCUUUCAAAUGUCUGCCUUAUCAACUGUCGAUGGUAGGUUCUGCGCCUACCAUGGUUGUAACGGGUAACGGGGAAUCAGGGUUCGAUUCCGGAGAGGGAGCCUGAGAAACGGCUACCACAUCCAAGGAAGGCAGCAGGCGCGCAAAUUACCCACUCCCGGCACGGGGAGGUAGUGACGAAAAAUAACGAUACGGGACUCAUCCGAGGCCCCGUAAUCGGAAUGAGUACACUCUAAACCCUUUAACGAGGAUCAAUUGGAGGGCAAGUCUGGUGCCAGCAGCCGCGGUAAUUCCAGCUCCAAUAGCGUAUAUUAAAGUUGUUGCGGUUAAAAAGCUCGUAGUCGAAUUUGUGUCUCGCGCCGUUGGUUCAUCGUUCGCGGUGUUAACUGACGUGCCGCGAGACGUCCUGCCGGUGGACUUAGCCUGACGUAUUGUGUAUGCAUUUCGGUGUGUACAUGUAUGUUUUGGUGAUGUCCAAAUCAAUCCCGCCACGGUGCCUUUAACCGGGUGCCGAGGUAGGCCGGCACGUUUACUUUGAACAAAUUAGAGUGCUUAAAGCAGGCUAAAAUUUUGCCUGAAUACUGUGUGCAUGGAAUAAUGGAAUAGGACCUCGGUUCUAUUUUGUUGGUUUUCGGAACCCCGAGGUAAUGAUUAAUAGGAACGGAUGGGGGCAUUCGUAUUGCGACGUUAGAGGUGAAAUUCUUGGAUCGUCGCAAGACGGACAGAAGCGAAAGCAUUUGCCAAAAACGCUUUCAUUGAUCAAGAACGAAAGUUAGAGGUUCGAAGGCGAUCAGAUACCGCCCUAGUUCUAACCAUAAACGAUGCCAGCUAGCGAUCCGCCGACGUUCCUCCGAUGACUCGGCGGGCAGCUUCCGGGAAACCAAAGCUUUUGGGUUCCGGGGGAAGUAUGGUUGCAAAGCUGAAACUUAAAGGAAUUGACGGAAGGGCACCACCAGGAGUGGAGCCUGCGGCUUAAUUUGACUCAACACGGGAAACCUCACCAGGCCCGGACACCGGAAGGAUUGACAGAUUGAGAGCUCUUUCUUGAUUCGGUGGGUGGUGGUGCAUGGCCGUUCUUAGUUGGUGGAGCGAUUUGUCUGGUUAAUUCCGAUAACGAACGAGACUCUAGCCUGCUAACUAGGCGUAUUUUGACAUCCUAAAGGCCCGCCGGCAUUAGUCAUUCGUGGCUGGUGUUGUGCGCGGUUUUUACUGUCAGCGUACAAACAUAUCUUCUUAGAGGGACAGGCGGCUUCUAGCCGCACGAGAUUGAGCAAUAACAGGUCUGUGAUGCCCUUAGAUGUUCUGGGCCGCACGCGCGCUACACUGAAGGAAUCAGCGUGUCCUCCCUGGCCGAACGGCCCGGGUAACCCGCUGAACCUCCUUCGUGCUAGGGAUUGGGGCUUGCAAUUGUUCCCCAUGAACGAGGAAUUCCCAGUAAGCGCGAGUCAUAAGCUCGCGUUGAUUACGUCCCUGCCCUUUGUACACACCGCCCGUCGCUACUACCGAUUGAAUGAUUUAGUGAGGUCUUCGGAUCGGUACGCGGUGGCGUUUCGACGUUACCGAUGUUGCUGAAAAGAUGACCAAACUUGAUCAUUU